rnacentral:rRNA from 1 species
UACGAAGGUGGCAAGCGUUGUUCGGAUUUACUGGGCGUAAAGGGAGCGUAGGUGGUUAGGUAAGCCCUCCGGGAAAUCUUCAGGCUUAACCUGAAAAGGUCGGGGGGGACUGCCUGGCUAGAGGACGGGAGAGGAGCGCGGAAUUCCCGGUGUAGCGGUGAAAUGCGUAGAGAUCGGGAGGAAGGCCGGUGGCGAAGGCGGCGCUCUGGAACAUUUCUGACGCUGAGGCUCGAAAGCGUGGGGAGCAAACAGG